CUUGGAGAGGGGGAGGGGGAGAGGAAAUGAAAACAAAAAUUGAAAAAGAAAGGAAGAGAGAUGUGGAAGAAAAGAAAGGGGAAAGGGGUAAAGGAAAAGAUGGAAGAGGGAUGGAUGAUGGAGUAGGGGAGGAAGUGAGGGAAGGAGGGGAAGAGGGAAAGAAGAAAAGAGAGGGUGAUAGGGAAGAGAGGGAAAGAGAGAAGGGAGAGAAGGCUACGGGAGGGAGCAGAAGGGAAACUAGGGAAAGGGGGGCAACCCAGACGGAGGAAGGGCGAGAGAGAGAAGAAGGGUGACGGAUGGAAAAGCGAUGGUGUAAGACAAGAACGAGAGAGAGAGUGGAAAGUACAGAGGAGACGGAAGCGGAAGAGAAAGGGACGGCUAACUACGUGCCAGCAGCCGCGGUAAUACGUAGGUCCCGAGCGUUAUCCGGAUUUAUUGGGCGUAAAGCGAGCGCAGGCGGUUAGAUAAGUCUGAAGUUAAAGGCUGUGGCUUAACCAUAGUACGCUUUGGAAACUGUUUAACUUGAGUGCAAGAGGGGAGAGUGGAAUUCCAUGUGUAGCGGUGAAAUGCGUAGAUAUAUGGAGGAACACCGGUGGCGAAAGCGGCUCUCUGGCUUGUAACUGACGCUGAGGCUCGAAAGCGUGGGGAGCAAACAGGAUUAGAUACCCUGGUAGUCCACGCCGUAAACGAUGAGUGCUAGGUGUUGGGUCCUUUCCGGGACUCAGUGCCGCAGCUAACGCAUUAAGCACUCCGCCUGGGGAGUACGACCGCAAGGUUGAAACUCAAAGGAAUUGACGGGGGCCCGCACAAGCGGUGGAGCAUGUGGUUUAAUUCGAAGCAACGCGAAGAACCUUACCAGGUCUUGACAUCCCUCUGACCGCUCUAGAGAUAGAGCUUUCCUUCGGGACAGAGGUGACAGGUGGUGCAUGGUUGUCGUCAGCUCGUGUCGUGAGAUGUUGGGUUAAGUCCCGCAACGAGCGCAACCCCUAUUGUUAGUUGCCAUCAUUCAGUUGGGCACUCUAGCGAGACUGCCGGUAAUGAACCGGAGGAAGGUGGGGAUGACGUCAAAUCAUCAUGCCCCUUAUGACCUGGGCUACACACGUGCUACAAUGGCUGGUACAACGAGUCGCAAGUCGGUGACGGCAAGCUAAUCUCUUAAAGCCAGUCUCAGUUCGGAUUGUAGGCUGCAACUCGCCUACAUGAAGUCGGAAUCGCUAGUAAUCGCGGAUCAGCACGCCGCGGUGAAUACGUUCCCGGGCCU
rnacentral:rRNA from 1 species